ACUGGUCCAUAAUGUAAAGUGCAACGAUUGAAGGAGAUUGAUUGAGUUUUUACAGCACAUUAUUUAUUUGUUUGCCUAUAUGUAUUUUAUUUAUUCAAUGAACUCGUUGAUUGUGGACACACUGCAACACAUGCAAAUACCAAGGUCUUCUGGGUGAAUGAUGUGACUACAGCGAGGUCUCUUUUCACCACAAUAACAUAAAAAAUCAGGUUUAACUAUCAAAACUGCCACCACAUUUUUGGAGGUCCCAUGGAGAUAUCCGUCGUCUGUGUGCCAGUUUCAAGGUCUGGUCCGGACCAACCCGAAGUUACAUG